AUUGAACGCUGGCGGCAGGCCUAACACAUGCAAGUCGAGCGGAUGAAGGGAGCUUGCUCCUGGAUUCAGCGGCGGACGGGUGAGUAAUGCCUAGGAAUCUGCCUGGUAGUGGGGGAUAACGUCCGGAAACGGGCGCUAAUACCGCAUACGUCCUGAGGGAGAAAGUGGGGGAUCUUCGGACCUCACGCUAUCAGAUGAGCCUAGGUCGGAUUAGCUAAUUGGUGGGGUAAAGGCCUACCAAGGCGACGAUACGUAACUGGUCUGAGAGGAUGAUCAGUCACACUAGAACUGAGACACGGUCCAGACUCCUACGGGAGGCAGCAGUGGGGAAUAUUGGACAAUGGGCGAAAGCCUGAUCCAGCCAUGCCGCGUGUGUGAAGAAGGUCUUCGGAUUGUAAAGCACUUUAAGUUGGGAGGAAGGGCAGUAAGUUAAUACCUUGCUGUUUUGACGUUACCAACAGAAUAAGCACCGGCUAACUUCGUG
rnacentral:rRNA from 1 species